GCUAUCGACAAACUGUAGUAAAAAAUUACCUCGGAGGACUUCAAUGUUGUAGGCCUAGAGCUCGAUGCUGCUUGGACGAAUCUGUAUAUUAUUAUAACAAACUAGGUUACGUUCUUUAGCGGAAUAUUUCAGAUAACAAAGGCCUACAUCCAUCAUCUCAGAGAAUGGCAGGCAAUUAACAGUCAUAUUCCUCCAGCUGCAUUUUAAGGUGACUAGCUAUGCAUUAUACAAGCAACCCAUGCACUGGAUUUAAAAGAGAACAUUGUGUCCUCCUGUUGGUUUAGGUCACCGCUUACAAGAAACCUGAUCUCGGAGGGUGUGGUCACAUCAAACGGAGUCACAUAUCCGAGCUAGGAGGUCGCAUAUCAUCUCCACUGUGACUAUAGUUUGACCCUGACCUCCGAAUAUGGUUGCUAAAGAUUGAUGGGUCAACUGCUGCCUACACAUACAUCCAAGUUUGGGGUGAAGGAAGAUUGAGAGUUAUGAGCACUGUAAGCGAUCUGAUGACAUGUAUACUAUUUAGAAGGACAGCGUUGGUCAAGACUUGGCUGUUACAGUAUUUUGUUUCUUGAUGGCAUUGGAGACUCCAGGAGGAGCUGCAGCAGCUUCACCUCCACAAGAGACCGCUGGCUCUCACAUCAUGUAGCAGAUGCUUUUAAAUGGCUGACUUGCAAGAAUCGCGCCGGAUGAGCAGUAGCACACCUGGUCUAUGGGCAUGUCGAAUUCUGCUUAGGAAAAGCUAAAAGGAAAUGGCGAUGUUUCUAGAAAGUGUCAUGCCCAGAGGUGGUGAGCAGAGGUGUCAUUCCCAUAUUACAUUAAAAUGUGUAUUUGUUGGGGAGUAUUCUCACACUAUAAAUAAACCACAAUACCGCCAGACUAAAACGUUAUACAUGAAAACACUAUAAUAGAUUUAGCUAACUAAAUUUGAAUUAUUUUCUAUUAUAGCCUAAUUAUUUUUAAUUUUUUAAGAAUUAAGUGUAGCCUAUAGUCAAUGCUUAUUUUUUUGUACAAUUUAUGUACAAUUUAAAUCUCGCCCCCGUCCCCAAUAGGCCGAUAAAAUAAAGUAAGAACAUAAAAUGUUAAGUAUUUUGGAGUUGAAAAAGUAAAGCUGCAUUGAAGGGUCAAAAGGGAAAGGUCAUGACUGUUUCCAAUUUGACGAGCAACACAUAUUGUAAACCUUUUUAAAAUAGUAAUUGUCAUAAAACUAAAAAUGUACUUUUUUGUUUACGUACAAUGGCCUACGUCAAAACCUGCCAAUAACUAAAACAUUUUUUGUUGCAUAUUUAUUCACAAACACUGGUUAAAAUGGAUUGGCAGACAAUAGGGGUGAGCAGGGGCACAACCUAACGCGAGGCUAGUUGCAACGCACUUGUUUUAAAUACUUCCACACAUGCCAGCAUGUAUUUAGUUGCCAUAUAUUAACUCUAUAUAGAGAAAAAAAAAUUCACCAAAAUUCUGAAAUCUUUGAAAGAUAUUUCUGAACACUAUUUAAACCAUGGCAAAAGUAAAUUUAAGUUAUUUUUUCAGCUCUGUUUUUUGUAUUUAUUUAAAAUUAGACAAAUCUGAUAUUAUUUUAAUCUCGUAUAUAUUAUUUAACAGUUGAGAUAGUCCUUUAAUUCUUAUAACCAGCAGAACACACUAACCAGGUUUAAAACCCAGUUGCGCAGGUGGGGCAUGUUGAAACACUGCAUUACUAUUAGAGAGCUAUACUUUUAAGAAUGUAUUGAGAAAACAUGAGAAAAAGGUGAAUAAAGACUGAGGGUCAAUGUUUAGAAAUUAUUAACUAUUAUUAUGUUUUGAACUAUGCUAACUGUGUAAAAACUCUGUUUAUUUAAAAAAAAAUAAUGCCAUUGUUUCAUAUGAAAA